rnacentral:rRNA from 1 species
AGAGUUUGAUCCUGGCUCAGGAUGAACGCUAGCGGCAGGCUUAACACAUGCAAGUCGAGGGGUAUUGGUUUUCGGACCAAGAGACCGGCGCACGGGUGCGUAACGCGUAUGCAAUCUACCUUUUACAGAGGGAUAGCCCAGAGAAAUUUGGAUUAAUACCUCAUAGUAUGCAGAGUUGGCAUCAAUACUGCAUUAAAGUCACAACGGUAAAAGAUGAGCAUGCGUCCCAUUAGCUAGUUGGUUAGGUAACGGCUUACCAAGGCAACGAUGGGUAGGGGUCCUGAGAGGGAGAUCCCCCACACUGGUACUGAGACACGGACCAGACUCCUACGGGAGGCAGCAGUGAGGAAUAUUGGUCAAUGGGCGCAAGCCUGAACCAGCCAUGCCGCGUGCAGGAUGACGGUCCUAUGGAUUGUAAACUGCUUUUGUACAGGAAGAAACAACAUUACGUGUAAUGUCUUGACGGUACUGUAAGAAUAAGGAUCGGCUAACUCCGUGCCAGCAGCCGCGGUAAUACGGAGGAUCCAAGCGUUAUCCGGAAUCAUUGGGUUUAAAGGGUCCGUAGGCGGUUUAGUAAGUCAGUGGUGAAAGCCCAUCGCUCAACGGUGGAACGGCCAUUGAUACUGCUAGACUUGAAUUAUUAGGAAGUAACUAGAAUAUGUAGUGUAGCGGUGAAAUGCUUAGAGAUUACAUGGAAUACCAAUUGCGAAGGCAGGUUACUACUAAUGGAUUGACGCUGAUGGACGAAAGCGUGGGUAGCGAACAGGAUUAGAUACCCUGGUAGUCCACGCCGUAAACGAUGGAUACUAGCUGUUGGGAGUGAUCUCAGUGGCUAAGCGAAAGUGAUAAGUAUCCCACCUGGGGAGUACGUUCGCAAGAAUGAAACUCAAAGGAAUUGACGGGGGCCCGCACAAGCGGUGGAGCAUGUGGUUUAAUUCGAUGAUACGCGAGGAACCUUACCAAGGCUUAAAUGUAGAUUGACCGGUUUGGAAACAGACUUUUCGCAAGACAAUUUACAAGGUGCUGCAUGGUUGUCGUCAGCUCGUGCCGUGAGGUGUCAGGUUAAGUCCUAUAACGAGCGCAACCCCUGUUGUUAGUUGCCAGCGAGUCAUGUCGGGAACUCUAACGAGACUGCCAGUGCAAACUGUGAGGAAGGUGGGGAUGACGUCAAAUCAUCACGGCCCUUACGUCUUGGGCUACACACGUGCUACAAUGGCCGGUACAGAGAGCAGCCACUGGGCGACCAGGAGCGAAUCUACAAAACCGGUCACAGUUCGGAUCGGAGUCUGCAACUCGACUCCGUGAAGCUGGAAUCGCUAGUAAUCGGAUAUCAGCCAUGAUCCGGUGAAUACGUUCCCGGGCCUUGUACACACCGCCCGUCAAGCCAUGGAAGCUGGGGGUGCCUGAAGUCGGUGACCGCAAGGAGCUGCCUAGGGUAAAACUGGUAACUAGGGCUAAGUCGUAACAAGGUA